CAGGGAGCAUGAGAAGGCAAAGUCCCCAACACUUAAAACAGCUAUUCAACAGAAAUUGAUAAACCAAGGCAAUGCAUGGCAAAGGAAAACAAGGAGCAGCGCUGAUGAGAAGCUCUGCUGUGGACAUGGUCUCACUUCCUCUUCUCUUUUCCUGUCCUGUUUUAGGCCCAAGGCAUGAUUUGCUCCUUCCAGAUCUAAGCGUUGACUCCUUCGAACCUCCCUUGAGAUUUCACUCAGAAUAGUGUGUGAGGCAGAGCCAUUCUUCCUGCGACACAUCAGAAAAGAGGAUCACUGCUCAGCAGAAACUUCAGGAUGGUUCACACUGGCCCUACAGGACUCUUCAGCCUCACUGGGCCAGCAGUAAUACAGAGACGUUCCUGGGACCAACUGCGGAAUGCAAGACUCAGCCUGGAACUGUCACUGUCACUUGCACCCACCUUCUGUUCAUUACAGUAAGCCACAAAACAUCCAGUCUUGCAUCGCUGGGCAGGAAAAACCAAUUCCAAGAAACUAGUGGCCAAUACAGCAGAGUAACAGGGCAAAGUGUAUGGACUCUGAUAGAGGGAAGGCUGGAAGAAUUUCAAAAAAAUAUUGCAAUCUUUAACAUUUAGCACCUCUUCUUAAUUUCCUUUUGUUAAAAAAAAAAAAAACAAACAAUCACAGGAGCCAGCAAUCCUCCUAAUAGCCUCUAAGUAUGACAGGGGAGAUGGCAGAUAGGUCAUCACACCCUUUGUUCUUCACGAGGUUACCAGGUCAUAACCACAAUAUCACAUUUUGUGCUGUGCUGUUCCCAUGACUAUGUUUGCCUAUGGCCUGGUUAUCACCCAUAUUGUUCUUUGUUCUUUGAGCACUGCCUGGUAAAUCUGACAUUGCUGGUAUGAUUGGUCAUAUGACACUGAGGAUGUGAAUGCUUACUGUCUUUUAUGAUUACAAAACUUCAUGGAUAACAUGUGUUCCAGAUUGGCUAAGGAAAUUAGGAUAUCUUCACAGACACUUGGAGGACAACAGAGAGGAGGAUAGGUAAGCUCUCAUAGGCCCAAGAAUCUGCUGCUUAUUUGGGAUGCAACACAGGUGUGGGUCGAUAUCAUCUUGUUCUCUAAGUCUCAUCCUCACAUUAAAGAUAAGCAAACC
ensembl:lincRNA